AACGAACGCUGGCGGCAUGCCUAACACAUGCAAGUCGAACGAGACCUUCGGGUCUAGUGGCGCACGGGUGCGUAACGCGUGGGAACCUGCCUUUAGGUUCGGAAUAACUCAGAGAAAUUUGAGCUAAUACCGGAUAAUGUCUUCGGACCAAAGAUUUAUCGCCUUUAGAUGGGCCCGCGUAAGAUUAGCUAGUUGGUGGGUAAAGGCCUACCAAGGCGACGAUCUUUAGCUGGUCUGAGAGGAUGAUCAGCCACACUGGGACUGAGACACGGCCCAGACUCCUACGGGAGGCAGCAGUGGGGAAUAUUGGACAAUGGGCGAAAGCCUGAUCCAGCAAUGCCGCGUGAGUGGUGAAGGCCUUAGGGUUGUAAAGCUCUUUUACCCGGGAUGAUAAUGACAGUACCGGGAGAAUAAGCUCCGGCUAACUCCGUGCCAGCAGCCGCGGUAAU
rnacentral:rRNA from 1 species